rnacentral:tRNA from 1 species
UGGUAAAAAGAAGAUUCAAACUUCCCUAGGCGAAUUUACAAUCCGCCGCCUACUACUCGGCCACUCUACC